GGUUUAAUUACCCAAGUUUGAGGUAGUUGAAUAUUACGGCCCGGUGUUUCGGCUGCUGUGGCUUCAAAUGAAAUUUUGGAACGUCUUGCAUUUGCGGGACCAA
rnacentral:sRNA from 1 species